rnacentral:rRNA from 1 species
ACGAACGCUGGCGGCGUGCUUAACACAUGCAAGUCGAACGAUGAACCACUUCGGUGGGAUUAGUGGCGAACGGGUGAGUAACACGUGGGCAAUCUGCCCUUCACUCUGGGACAAGCCCUGGAAACGGGGUCUAAUACCGGAUACCACUCUCGCGGGCAUCUGCGAGGGUUGAAAGCUCCGGCGGUGAAGGAUGAGCCCGCGGCCUAUCAGCUUGUUGGUGAGGUAAUGGCUCACCAAGGCGACGACGGGUAGCCGGCCUGAGAGGGCGACCGGCCACACUGGGACUGAGACACGGCCCAGACUCCUACGGGAGGCAGCAGUGGGGAAUAUUGCACAAUGGGCGAAAGCCUGAUGCAGCGACGCCG